GGAAUGAUGGUCUUUCUGUAUCCAUUCCAUCACAGGGAGUAUCUAGGACGCCAGCUGGAAAAAGAGCAAGGAUCAACAACUACUACGCCAAAAUCUGCAGCUGGAGUACUCGCUGAUUUUUCAGAAUGCAUUUACCUGAAGGUUGAUGGUUAACUGCUGUGGAGAUGGAUGGAAUCUGAAUCGAUUGCCGUUUUGACGGGGUCACAAGAUCUAUUCUUGUGUUAAUGGUUCGACCCAAAAAAAGUUGUGACGGAGGUUUACCAGUUGUUUGAUGGGGUGCUCGGUGAUAUCUUUGGAGAUAAUUAUCAAUCAUGUAGUGGUCCCAAAGUCAAAAUACCCGCCAUCCAUGAGAGACACCUACGCACCCUGGCGGGGCGUGGGUGAAGAGAGAGUUGAGAGAGAAAGUGGGUAGUUAGUAGUUAGUCGUUGUCUGGUGAUUCGUUCGGAUAGGACCAUUUUAGGACCAAGAUGUGAGUUCCCGUCAUGUCACCCCAUCGGGGGUGAUUGUUUUUGUUUCUUCUGGCGAUGGAGUGAGUCGUGGUGGCCAUGCGGCCACCGUUUUCCCGGAUUUCCUGUUCUUUCCUUUUUUCCUCUCGUUCGCACUCCCGGACAGGCCCCUAGGCCUGAUUCCGGAUGGGCCUAGUGCCCUGUCUAGUAGUGACUUUUUAGAGAGUUGCACGGCCCCCGAGACCGUUACAACUGGCGCCCAACCCGCGGCUCGAUAAUUUCUUAUCGCAAGAACCUCCGCGAAACAUCAAGUGAAAGUGAUCCGUGAAAACGCGUGUGCCAGGUACCUAACCUUUACCUUAUAGUUUUACUGAACUCUCCGCCCUAUUCUAUGUUUAUUAGUUUAUUAUGAUGCCCAUUUCUGUACCGAAGUCGGAAGCUCUGUACCCGUGAACAGUCGUAAUUCCCGUAGUCCGAAGUUCGUGAACCGCGUUGUUGUGAUGUGAAGCUAGCCAUCAAGCUUUCACUUUUGCGCGCGAAAGUCAAGCCUUUGUGACGCGCCUCCAGCCUUUGUCCAUCGUUGUUGCUGAUCGGUCAUCACCGAGUGACGUCACCCGCGCCAC
rnacentral:lncRNA from 1 species